GUAGGGUGCGAGCGUUAAUCGGAAUUACUGGGCGUAAAGCGUGCGCAGGCGGUUCGUUAUGUCCGAUGUGAAAGCCCCGAGCUCAACUUGGGAAUGGCAUUGGAAACUGGCAGGCUGGAGUGUGGCAGAGGGGGGUGGAAUUCCACGUGUAGCAGUGAAAUGCGUAGAGAUGUGGAGGAACACCGAUGGCGAAGGCAGCCCCCUGGGCCAACACUGACGCUCAGGCACGAAAGCGUGGGGAGCAAACAGGAUUAGAUACCCUGGUAGUCCACGCCCUAAACGAUGUCAACUGGGUGUUGGGGAAGCGAUUCCUUGGUACCGUAGCUAACGCGUGAAGUUGACCGCCUGGGGAGUACGGCCGCAAGGUUA
rnacentral:rRNA from 1 species